CCUACGGGGGGCAGCAGUGAGGAAUAUUGGUCAAUGGGCGCUAGCCUGAACCAGCCAAGUAGCGUGAAGGAUGACUGCCCUAUGGGUUGUAAACUUCUUUUAUAUGGGAAUAAAGUGCAGUAUGUAUACUGCUUUGCAUGUACCUUAUGAAUAAGGAUCGGCUAACUCCGUGCCAGCAGCCGCGGUAAUACGGAGGAUCCGAGCGUUAUCCGGAUUUAUUGGGUUUAAAGGGAGCGUAGGCGGGUUGUUAAGUCAGUUGUGAAAGUUUGCGGCUCAACCGUAAAAUUGCAGUUGAUACUGGCAUCCUUGAGUACAGUAGAGGUAGGCGGAAUUCGUGGUGUAGCGGUGAAAUGCAUAGAUAUCACGCAGAACUCCGAUUGCGAAGGCAGCUUACUAAGCCAUAACUGACACUGAAGCACGAAAGCGUGGGGAUCAAACAGGAUUAGAUACCCCGGUAGUC
rnacentral:rRNA from 1 species